GGAAUCUUGGACAAUGGGGGCAACCCUGAUCCAGCCAUGCCGCGUGAGUGAUGAAGGCCCUAGGGUUGUACAACUCUUUCGGCGGGGACGAUAAUGACGGUACCCGCAGCAGCAGCUUCGGCUAACUUCGUGCCAGCAGCCGCGGUAAUACGAAGGGGGCUAGCGUUGUUCGGAAUUACUGGGCGUAAAGCGCGCGCAGGCGGUUUUCCAAGUCAGGGGUGAAAGCCCAGAGCUCAACUCUGGAACUGCCUUUGAAACUGGAAAACUAGGGUACGGGAGAGGUGAGUAGUAUUCCGAGUGUAGAGGUGAAAUUCGUAGAUAUUCGGAAGAACACCAGUGGCGAAGGCGGCUCACUGGCCCGUUACCGACGCUCAGGCGCGACAGCGUGGGGAGCAAA
rnacentral:rRNA from 1 species